rnacentral:rRNA from 1 species
GUAGGUGAACCUGCGGAAGGAUCAUUAAAGAAAUNAUCUCGAGGGCCGAUGGAAAGGAGAGAGGGUUGUAGCUGGCGUAAGCACGUGCACGCCCUCUUUCUCGACCUAGGUCCUUAUGGGCGCGGGGCGACCCGCGUCUUCAUAAGCCCCUUCGUGUAGAAAGUCUAUGAAUGUUUUUANCAUCAUCGACUCGCGACUUCUAGGAGACGCGAUUCUUUGAGACAAAAGUUAUUACAACUUUCAGCAAUGGAUCUCUUGGCUCUCGCAUCGAUGAAGAACGCAGCGAAUCGCGAUAUGUAAUGUGAAUUGCAGAUCUACAGUGAAUCAUCGAAUCUUUGAACGCACCUUGCGCUUAUCGGUGUUCCGAUGAGCAUGCCUGUUUGAGCGUCAUUAAAUUCUCAACCCCUCUCGAUUUGCUUCGAGAGGGUGCUUGGAUAGUGGAGGCUGCCGGAGACCUGUUUUUUCAGGACUCGGGCUCCUCUGAAAUGUAUUGGCUUGCGGUCGACUUUCGACUGUGCAUGACAAGGCCUUGNNNUGGNGUGAUAAUGAUCGCCGCUCGCCGAAGUGCACGAACGAAUGGUCUCGUGCCCCUAAUCAGUCGAUGUCUUUUCGAAGGCGUCUUCCUUAUUGACGUUUGACCUCAAAUCAGGUAGGACUACCCGCUGAACUUAAGCAUAUCAAUAAGCGGAGGAAAAGAAACUAACAAGGAUUCCCCUAGUAACUGCGAGUGAACCGGGAAAAGCUCAAAUUUUGAAUCUGGCGGUCCUUCGGGCCGUCCGAGUUGUAAUCUAGAGAAGCGUCUUCCGCGCU